rnacentral:rRNA from 1 species
CUCCAGACUCCUACGGGAGGCAGCAGUGGGGAAUAUUGCACAAUGGGGGAAACCCUGAUGCAGCGACGCCGCGUGAGUGAAGAAGUAUUUCGGUAUGUAAAGCUCUAUCAGCAGGGAAGAAAAUGACGGUACCUGAUUAAGAAGCCCCGGCUAACUACGUGCCAGCAGCCGCGGUAAUACGUAGGGGGCAAGCGUUAUCCGGAUUUACUGGGUGUAAAGGGAGCGUAGACGGCAGCACAAGUCUGGAGUGAAAGGCGGGGGCCCAACCCCCGGAGUGCUCUGGAAACUGUGUAACUGGAGUGCAGGAGAGGUAAGUGGAAUUCCUAGUGUGGCGGUGAAAUGCGUAGAUAUUAGGGGGAACACCAGUGGCGAAGGCGGCUUACUGGACUGUAACUGACGUUGAGGCUCGAAAGCGUGGGGAGCAAACAGGAUUAGAUACCCUCGUAAA